GCUCCCUGUGCUGACCUUCAGAGCCAAGAGGCAAUCAGUGCAGCUGGGUAAGGGGAACACUCAGGUGUUUGUCACAGUAGAGAACCAGUUGCCUAGGAGAGCAAUUGUUGCAUGCUGGCCUCAGCUGUGCUGUGCAGAAGGCUGGUUACAUAGUGCUGGUGGGCACUGGGCACCUCAUUCUCUGCUGGGGUUUCAUCUAGAGAAGGUUGCAGGGAUGAUGGUGCUAAAAAGAAGAGCUGAUGUGUCGCUGAAGCCUUAUACUCGCAUCCCAAGGCACUGUGCUUCUGCUCCUGCUCUGCGGGAACCCUGACAGCGCCAGCAAAAUGAAGGAAGGGCCACAUGAACCAGUCACAUGAAAAAUAAGAAAAUGCGUCACAGAUCUUACACGUUGGGAGCUGUUUUCCACUUGCAAUUCCCAUUGCCAUGAGACCACAGUUUGUGCUGCUGGGCUUGAAGGAACACUCGCCCUGCCCUGCACACAAGGCAAGGAUGGAGCUCGGCACCAUCUCACACGGGCACCUCGUGUCUUGCAGCAGAUGUCUCCCCAUCGUCCUUCUGUGCAGCACUUCUUCUUUUGGUGAGAUGAUGAUGGAUUAUGCCCCAAUCCAGGAGAUACAACAGGAAUUAAGAGGAUUAAAAUUCUUGUAAAAAAAUUUAUCGCCUGCAGAUCCCUAUGGAAGAGUUCUGACCCUUCUGACCCAGCACCUUUACACACUGCCAGGAAGGUGACUGCUCAACAGCUGGUGCAAAAUGAAGAGUCUGAAGAGCCGGAGGAAAGGUUUAGAAAAGAAAAACAUGACGUUAAAAUAGAGAAAGCACAGGAGCCGUGUGCAGGGCAGCGCCAGACGCCGCACAGUCUGGAAACUUAGAUGCGUUAUUUUUUGUGGUUUACCUUCCGUGAUGUCCCCAAAUACCUCCUUCCCCUCACAUAGAAUUUAUCAAUCAUGCUUCUUUCAGUCUCUUUCUGUCCGUCCUUCCAGCUGUGGGGAAUGGUUUGUCAGGGGCUCGUCCUGUUCUUCAAUAGGUUCCUUUUGUUUGGCCGAGGAGUGGUGGAGGAAGUAGUCCAUCAGUGGUUUACUAAUAAAUGUACAAGCUUA